UGUAGGUGACUAUGUUUUUCUUAAGGCAUCUCCGUGGAAGAAGGUCAUUUGGUUUGGACAUAAGGGCAAGUUGAGCCCUAGGUUCAUUAGGCCGUAUCGAAUUUUGAAACGUGUGGGACCGAUUGCCUAUUAGUUAGAGCUACCUCCAGAGUUAGAUUGUUUUCACGAUGGAUUCCACAAUUCUAAUUUGAGGUGGUAUCUCUGUUGAGGAGAUUGAGGUAAGACCGGAUUUAAC
rnacentral:lncRNA from 1 species